rnacentral:lncRNA from 10 species
GCUGGGCAUGGUGGCUCAUGCCUGUGAUCCCAGCACUUUGGGAGGCCGAGGUGGGUGGAUUACCUGAGGUCAGGAGUUCAAGACCAGCCUGGCCAACAUGGUAAAACCCUGUCUCUACUAAAAAUACAAAAAUUAGGCCGGGAGCAGAGGCUCACGCCUGUAAUCCCAACACUUUGGGAGGCCGAGGCCACCACGACCAGCUAAUUUUUGCAUUUUCAGCAGAGACGGGGUUUCACCAUGUUGGUCAGGCAGGUCUCGAACUCCUGACCUCAGGUGAUCCACCUGC